UUCAGUAGGAAAUUUCCUACUGAUUGAUUAAGUAGGUCGAAAAUCUACUUAAUUUGCAAUUUUCUUACUUAAAACGAGUUUCCCAAGUCACUUACUGUAAAUUGCAAAUACUUAUAUGUGGUUAUGCUACUUACACUUACCAUCCCACUUAUAAAUAAGAUGGAAAAUGGCAUUUUAAGUAUGAAACAUUCGAAAUAAGUAUGCUUUAAUUUAAGUAUCUUUAUUCAAGUUUUGCGAAACAUACUUUACCCAUUUUUAAUACUUCCAUUUAAAAGCUGUACCAAAAUUAAGUAUCGUUUCCCCAAAUUUAAGUACUUUUUAUACCAUAUAAGUUCUUUAGUUAAGUACCUUGCACAGUAAAGCAGGUUGACUAAAUCAAAGUCGUUAAAAUUGCAAGUAUCUUGUAACUCUGACGAAUUUUGAUGAUCAAACACUACUCAUGAAUUGUCAAUUGAAAAUCCAACAACUUUUUUUGAACACAUCAAAUUCCAUCACAGGAAUACCGGGAAUUCUAUAAUGUUGCACUGUUAAAAAAGGUUUUUUUAGUAGGAAAUCUCGUGUAAGUAUGGGCGGAAUUUAAGUAUCCAAAGCCAUGUAAGAGAUCCUGGCACCUCUUAAGUAGGAAACAAUAAGUAGGGAGCCGCUGCUGUGUUGUUCUCCUGGAUCUACGAGUCACGCAGAUCAUCAUUCUUAGAUGUAGGACAACAUGGUCGUGUUCUCUAGUUCUUCUCUCGAAUGGCUGCUGAAGCAUUUUCCGGUACCCCCGUGGUCAAAUCUUUUUGAGUCAGUCCAUCUAGAAAACAAUAUCUCCCUGUAUCUAUCCGUGCCGAACGUAAAACGUAUUUUCAUCAGCCACAGCUGCGCUUCUAACUCGAACCGGUGUUCUGUGCUGUCCACAGAUCACCAAGUAAUCCUGGAAAUUGAAAACGUUACACUACCUACGAAUGUCAACGAGCCACAAACUAUACAAAUCGCGGUCCACCAGGCUCUGAAAAAAGCCAAAACAACUGAUUCGAAGUACACACGGGUAGAGCAAGUAUCGUCAGCUCCCUCAUCAUUCUCAUUCACUCGACCACUUCGCAAACUGUUCAGCUUGCAGAUUUCUAAUCUUGUAUCCCUAGCAGUAGUUGAAGUUAAAACUGUUCUACUGAUCGGUAGUAGUACAAAUUCCUUGCCUAGUAUGACCUUCUCUAGAGGAUGUAGUUGUCCAGAAGUAAGUGGUGCUGGCUCCUCAGAGAAUUUUCUCCCAUCCAAAUCAAACGUACGGAACGAAAUCCGCCAACAGAUUGUAGAGUUAUAUGGAACCGGGAAUGGGCCAAAUUGGCAUCCGGGUCAAUUACCUGGUCCUUCUUCCCAGACGUUAAAUCCGCGGAAGCUAUGUCAAGCAACCCACCAUUAGGCCAGGUAAGCCAAAUUGUUUCAGGACCCUCACUUCUAAACUCCCACCAGUUCCGCUUCAAAUUCUCGAUUUCAUCUGCAUGCGCGUAUGGCCAGCCGGUUGAAACCAUGGAAAACUUUUUAUUUCACUGUCCCUUGUUUUCCCAGCCUCGCAUCGCUUUGAAGUCAAUCUGCCAAGCGAACCUAUAGUAUGGUUUGGCCACCAAGUCUAGCUAUCAUACCCGCAGUCACAGAUAUUUGGAAAGCAAUGAGUACGUUCAUCCAUAGUACAAAGUGCCUACGUUGGCAAAUCUCUUGAUUCUUUAAUUACUAUCUCUUUUUUUGUCUCCACAAUUCUCACUCCCAACACCCUAGAACUAUUAUCUUAGCACACUGUAACUGUGACCAAGGCUUUCUGUGUGGUUGAGGCUAUAGCGGAGGCCGUCGGCUGGCGGUCUUGAAGGUUCAACCAAGCCGGGAAGACUCUGCAGGCCGUACUAGAAUUUGUCAUGUUCACCCGAUCAGUAUGGCGUAAGCAGGCCCAGUUUUCAAAAAUAUAAUUUGUAAAAAAUUUAAUCAGCCUCGUAUCCAUGGCAUCCAACGAUUUUGCCUAACUUUGCUAACUUUAUAGUUGCCUUUAAAUCCAGUCAAAAAUAUUACACUACGAUCGGUUCUGACAUGUGAUUUAUGUAAAUAAUCGCCCUGUUUAUCGGUAAAUACAUUCCGGGCAGUACUCCCCCAUAGGAGCUGAGCCCAGUUUAAAAAAAAAUACCUUUGUCAAGUGAAUGGGCAACGAAGAUUCACACCACUGGUUAUAGAAAGAGCUUCUCUUUCAAAUGAAUAUUAAAAAACUUACCUUGUUUCUUAAUUGACGUUUGUAGCAGAAGGCAUCAGCUAAUAUGCACACUACACGGUGUGUGAGGUAACGCGGGAGACGGGAAAUUGAAAUAAAAUGGAUUUAGGUCGGAAUACAAAUCAUCUAGUUUGGUGCAGUUCAACUUCUAUGACGAUGCAAAAGUGCCAUUUUGACCGGGAUGACUAUUUCAACCGUAAUUAUUUACAGCUAAAUGACUAUGGCCGAAGCCCAAAAUUGGUUAAGGAAUAUUCCCAGAUAGACUUGGUCCAUUGUUUUGAUUUUCUAUCAGAAAAAAGAAAUCGACGACCAAUGCAUAUUGCCUUUAUCGGCGAUUUAACAGUUCGCCAAUUUUAUUUUUACUUUCCUUGGGUUGAUUCCAGACUACGAUAGGGCAAAAAGUAUCAAGAAGACGGCCUUCGCACAAUUUGUUUUUCAUGAUGACGGGAAUGUAACGAGUCGUAUUGUAGACAACCUUCUUGUCUCCUUUUACUGGCGAAAUUUAAUAAGAAAUGAUCUGAUAGCCGACUUUAAAAGAUGGGCUUCUACGGAAAAUAUCAACCAAGUACCCGACUUCAUCUUCUUCGAAAAGGUUGCCGAUCAUGUUGCUGUAGUUAGAAUCAGAGUUGAAAGAAGCUCACCGAUUUUGGAGCGCGCUCAGAGCUAUCCGCUCACACCCGUAAAACGAGUGCGGAAGGCGAGCGCGCUCGCGUUUUUUGGUGAGCGGCGAGCUAGAGCCGCUCUAUUUUAAAAAUCACGAGCUAGAGCGGGAGCGGAUGAGUCACGAGCGGAAGCUCGUGACCGUGGCACCAUCUAUCAGCCAAUAUUUUCACCAAGUGUAAUUCGUCAAUUCCAAAGCAGAAAACAGGAGGCUGACCUCUAAAUCUAAGGCAAUGGAAAUGGCAAGUGCAAAUAUAAGUCAAGGCAUGGCUGACCAAAUCACGCUAUCAGCCUCUGAUGGCUCUGAAUCUGAAUCAGAAUCAAAUCAUGCAAAUUCCUCUUGAAAAUGGAAACACCGGGGGAAAAAACCAACAAGCUGAAAUGAAUCUAGAAUUAAAUUGCCAUCCAACUAUUUCUAAUUCAUGUACGACAAAAAAGAUGGCAAAGGCUUUUUAGUUAAAUGCCUCAUAGGUCACAAGACAAAGCCAAAGUUUAAUAAAAAAGGCGAGAUUGAACUUCUGACUAUUACCAACAAUUCUGGCUACAAUUCCAAGAGGCACAUAGGAACAAUACACCCUACACACCUAACAGAAUUUAACUCUGCUUGGCAAAUAAGAAACCAAGAACCAAGCGUAGAGAGACAGUCAUCUAAUCCUGUUCAGGCUAGACUCUCUACCACGAGAAAAGUAAAAAAGACUAAUAAGUCUUCUAUAUAAAGAAUCAUUUGGAUAGUUCUUGGAAGUAUAAGCAGAUUAGAACACAGGAAGAUUUGAACAAAGCUAUCCUGAUGAGUAUUUCUUUACAUUAGUCAUAGUCUUUUCUCAUCUCAUCUCAUCCCCAACUAAAUAAAAUUAUUCUUAGUUAGUCUUUACUCUUUCAAUUUAACUUUUAAAGUUAACAAGAUUUUCAAGUUAAAGUAAAUAAAAAUUCAAUUUUUUAAAAAAGCUUUAACUGAAAUUCAAAAAUGUGAAGUACUACAUGUAUUCAAUUAUAAUACACCUGUUAAAAUGGAAUAUGAAUAUGAUAAACGGAAAUUUUCAGUGAACGUCCAGCGACAAAAUUUUGAAGGCUGAAAAAGAGCUUUUGCGAGUGGCUCGCGCUCUUUUUUUCAAAUGGUGAGCGGAGAGCGCGAGCUGCUCGUUUUACGGGUGUGAGCGGAUAGCUCUGAGCGCGCUCCAAAAUCGGUAAGCUUCUUUCAACUCUGUCUUUAAGUUCUAUUGAUAAUGGUUUGUUCUAAAAAGAAAAGAAAAAAAUUUGCUGUUUUAAAAACAACAAAGAAUAAAAUACUCUGUCAGAAUACUCAAAUAUAAUCACAUUUGCAGAAAGACUAGAAUCUUACUUUUACCGUCAACAAAAAGAACGGUCAAGAAAUUUUGACAGGUAUAAGAAAUCUGUCUACUUCCAAAUGGGAUGAGUCAAAGAAGAUUUUGUACCAGGCCAAUAUCUACUUGAUGUGGGGGAAAAGCGUUUUGGCGACCUUUCUACUAGAUUUCGGCUAAAUUGUAGUUGUUUUUUAGUCCAACUAAAUGAUCUCCAACUUAAACCAUUUUGCCGUUAAUCGUCUUCGUUCUCAGCUCAACUCUUCUCAGCAUGAUUUUACGUUUGCGUUAACACUGAUAAAUUGUGGUUGCGGUUUUCGUACGCAAAUAUUUUCUAAUACCGGUGGAAGAGGGACGUACGUUUUUUACCGACGAAAAUCCGUUUUACAUUUUAGAAUACGAAAAUCGUUGGGGUUUUUUUCAGACGAUAAUAGUACUACUUUUAUUUGAAUGAAAUUUCAUAAAAAUUUUAGUUUUUUGAGGAAAUAGCUACCUAUAGAUAAUCUCAAACCCGAGUCUCAAACCCAAGUCUCCCGCAUCGCAAUCAGAAAUCAGUCCACGAUGCCAACCAUUGUUAAACAUAUGUGUCCAACGCCAUCUGUGUGCAUAAUGGGCAACCAUGUACAGCCCUUGUACGUGGCUCUAUUGCUUUUUUGUUCUGCUACCGUACACAUGUUUUCUCUCUCUCUCUGCAUCUCUCUAUCAAAGUAGUGAUCUCCAACUAUUCAUUCAGGUACUUAAUAAAAGAUCAUAAGUGUGUUUCUCAAUUGUGUUAUAGCUAAUUCAAACAGGUUAUGGGCCCAGGUUAACCGAUAUUUUUUUCUUAGUAAGUUAAAAAAAAAAAAAAAACACCAAACUCAACCACGUUGAACAACUCAGUGGCACAAUUGUUCUUCUGCCUCCCAUUGUAGAAUCGAAAUAGUAGAGACUUAAGGGACGUUACUACUAUGACUGAAUCAAAAAUUCCCAAACUUAGCCAUAUCGAGCAGUUCAAUGGCACAAACUUUCAAUUGUGGAAGUACAAUUGCUGGCUCGUUCUUGACCAAAGUGAUUUACUUGA